AAUGCCAAGGGAGAGAAUAGUUUCUGGUAACUGUGUUCACCCACUGUGCAUCAAAAUGGACAGCGUUAAGGUGUCAUCUACAAACAGAUUAUCUUCCAUACAAGAAGCAGAGAUUGAUUUGCUGGGGUUUUCCUUUGCUGUGUUUGAAGACCCCAAUUCUUCAUCUAUUCUUCAAAGUACUCCAUAAGCUGGUUCUCGCAUCUCACAUUUCCAGCAUCAUCUCAAACCACUCUUCCUCUUAGUCCAUGCACUCCAGGAAGCAUGUGCGUGUAAAAAAAAAUAUACGGAAAACAAUUCAUCAAAGAAGCUGCAACAACUUGCUAUGGCAUAUUUUCUGUUAUCAACUACAUCUAGUGGAGCAAGUGGCAGUCACGGAUCAGUGCAGCCAUACUUGAAGAGGAUCUUUUUGUUUUUCUCCUUCCAUUGCCCUCUUCCUCCUUCUUCAUCUCAUUUUGAUUAGGUCACAUUAUAUAAUGUGAUUCUAUGAUGACUGAAUGGGAGAUGGAUAUACAAGCAUGUUUUCAACCCGGAAGCAUAAAAUUUGCUAUUGAUAUUUCCUUGUACCUGGAAUGUUCUCAGUGUGUACAUGUCAAGUGAAGACUCCACGUGCCAUGAAUCCCUUCUAAAUAAGGCAAGACAAACAGGAUAGGCCCGCCUUAUCACCAAAAAGAAGAAAAACAGGGAGGAGAAGAAAAAGAAAAGAUGGAU